rnacentral:rRNA from 1 species
UUGAACGCUGGCGGCAGGCCUAACACAUGCAAGUCGAACGGUAACAGGAAGAAGCUUGCUUCUUUGCUGACGAGUGGCGGACGGGUGAGUAAUGUCUGGGAAACUGCCUGAUGGAGGGGGAUAACUACUGGAAACGGUAGCUAAUACCGCAUAACGUCGCAAGACCAAAAAGGGGGACCUUCGGGCCUCUUGCCAUCGGAUGUGCCCAGAUGGGAUUAGCUAGUAGGUGGGGUAACGGCUCACCUAGGCGACGAUCCCUAGCUGGUCUGAGAGGAUGACCAGCCACACUGGAACUGAGACACGGUCCAGACUCCUACGGGAGGCAGCAGUGGGGAAUAUUGCACAAAGGGCGCAAGCCUGAUGCAGCCAUGCCGCGUGUAUGAAGAAGGCCUUCGGGUUGUAAAGUACUUUCAGCGGGGAGGAAGGGAGUAAAGUUAAUACCUUUGCUCAUUGACGUUACCCGCAGAAGAAGCACCGGCUAACUCCGUG